rnacentral:rRNA from 1 species
GACGAACGCUGGCGGCGUGCUUAACACAUGCAAGUCGAACGGAAAGGCCCUGCUUUUGUGGGGUGCUCGAGUGGCGAACGGGUGAGUAACACGUGAGUAACCUGCCCUUGACUUUGGGAUAACUUCAGGAAACUGGGGCUAAUACCGGAUAGGAGCUCCUGCUGCAUGGUGGGGGUUGGAAAGUUUCGGCGGUUGGGGAUGGACUCGCGGCUUAUCAGCUUGUUGGUGGGGUAGUGGCUUACCAAGGCUUUGACGGGUAGCCGGCCUGAGAGGGUGACCGGCCACAUUGGGACUGAGAUACGGCCCAGACUCCUACGGGAGGCAGCAGUGGGGAAUAUUGCACAAUGGGCGGAAGCCUGAUGCAGCAACGCCGCGUGCGGGAUGACGGCCUUCGGGUUGGAAACCGCUUUCGCCUGUGACGAAGCGUGAGUGACGGUAAUGGGUAAAGAAGCACCGGCUAACUA